UGCAGUCGAACGAACUCUGGUAUUGAUUGGUGCUUGCAUCAUGAUUUACAUUUGAGUGAGUGGCGAACUGGUGAGUAACACGUGGGAAACCUGCCCAGAAGCGGGGGAUAACACCUGGAAACAGAUGCUAAUACCGCAUAACAACUUGGACCGCAUGGUCCGAGUUUGAAAGAUGGCUUCGGCUAUCACUUUUGGAUGGUCCCGCGGCGUAUUAGCUAGAUGGUGGGGUAACGGCUCACCAUGGCAAUGAUACGUAGCCGACCUGAGAGGGUAAUCGGCCACAUUGGGACUGAGACACGGCCCAAACUCCUACGGGAGGCAGCAGUAGGGAAUCUUCCACAAUGGACGAAAGUCUGAUGGAGCAACGCCGCGUGAGUGAAGAAGGGUUUCGGCUCGUAAAACUCUGUUGUUAAAGAAGAACAUAUCUGAGAGUAACUGUUCAGGUAUUGACGGUAUUUAACCAGAAAGCCACGGCUAACUACGUGCCAGCAGCCGCGGUAAUACGUAGGUGGCAAGCGUUGUCCGGAUUUAUUGGGCGUAAAGCGAGCGCAGGCGGUUUUUUAAGUCUGAUGUGAAAGCCUUCGGCUCAACCGAAGAAGUGCAUCGGAAACUGGGAAACUUGAGUGCAGAAGAGGACAGUGGAACUCCAUGUGUAGCGGUGAAAUGCGUAGAUAUAUGGAAGAACACCAGUGGCGAAGGCGGCUGUCUGGUCUGUAACUGACGCUGAGGCUCGAAAGUAUGGGUAGCAAACAGGAUUAGAUACCCUGGUAGUCCAUACCGUAAACGAUGAAUGCUAAGUGUUGGAGGGUUUCCGCCCUUCAGUGCUGCAGCUAACGCAUUAAGCAUUCCGCCUGGGGAGUACGGCCGCAAGGCUGAAACUCAAAGGAAUUGACGGGGGCCCGCACAAGCGGUGGAGCAUGUGGUUUAAUUCGAAGCUACGCGAAGAACCUUACCAGGUCUUGACAUACUAUGCAAAUCUAAGAGAUUAGACGUUCCCUUCGGGGACAUGGAUACAGGUGGUGCAUGGUUGUCGUCAGCUCGUGUCGUGAGAUGUUUGGGUUAAGUCCCGCAACGAGCGCAACC
rnacentral:rRNA from 1 species